rnacentral:rRNA from 1 species
UGGCGAACGGGGUGAGUAACACGUGGGCAACCUGCCCAAAAGAGGGGGAUAACACUUGGAAACAGGUGCUAAUACGCAUAACCAUAGUUACCGCAUGGUAGCUAUGUAAAAGGUGGCUAUGCUACCGCUUUUUGGAUGGGCCCGCGGCGCAUUAGCUAGUUGGUGGGGUAAAGGCUUACCAAGGCAAUGAUGCGUAGCCGAACUGAGAGGUUGAUCGGCCACAUUGGGACUGAGACACGGCCCAAACUCCUACGGGAGGCAGCAG